rnacentral:rRNA from 1 species
UGGGGAAUAUUGCACAAUGGAGGGAACCCUGAUGCAGCGACGCCGCGUGAGUGAUGAAGGAAUUCGUUUCGUAAAACUCUGUUCUAUGGGAAGAAAAGGACUGUACCAUAAGAAAAAGCCCCGGCUAACUACGUGCCAGCAGCCGCGGUAAUACGUAGGGGGCUAGCGUUGUCCGGAAUCACUGGGCGUAAAGGGUUCGCAGGCGGAAAUGCAAGUCAGGUGUAAAAGGCAGUAGCUUAACUACUGUAAGCAUUUGAAACUGCAUAUCUUGAGAAGAGUAGAGGUAAGUGGAAUUUUUAGUGUAGCGGUGAAAUGCGUAGAUAUUAAAAAGAAUACCGGUGGCGAAGGCGACUUACUGGGCUCAUUCUGACGCUGAGGAACGAAAGCGUGGGUAGCAAACAGG